rnacentral:rRNA from 1 species
AACGAACGCUGGCGGCGUGGAUUAGGCAUGCAAGUCGAACGCGAAAGAGGGAGCAAUCCCUCGAGUAGAGUGGCGAACGGGUGAGUAACGCGUGAAGAACCUGCCUUCGACAGGGGGAUAACACUCCCAACGGGGUGCUAAUACCGCAUGAGACCACGGGGUCGCAUGGCCCUGAGGUCAAAGGUGGCCUCUAUUUAUAAGCUACCGGUCGAAGAUGGCUUCGCGUCCCAUUAGCUAGUUGGCGGUGUAAGAGACCACCAAGGCGACGAUGGGUAGCUGGUCUGAGAGGAUGGUCAGCCACACUGGGACUGAGAUACGGCCCAGACUCCUACGGGAGGCAGCAGUCGAGAGGCUUCGGCAAUGGGGGAAACCCUGACCGAGCGACGCCGCGUGGAGGAUGAAGGCCCUUGGGUUGUAAACUCCUUUUGUUGGGGAAGAAAUGCGAUCAGGUGAACAAUCUGGUCGUUUGACGGUACCCGACGAAUAAGCUCCGGCUAACUCCGUGCCAGCACG